rnacentral:rRNA from 1 species
AACUCUCAACAACGGAUAUCUUGGCUCUCAGAUCGAUGAAGACGCAGCGAAUGCGAUACGUAGUGUGAUUGCAGAA